rnacentral:rRNA from 1 species
GAGAUAAGUGCUGAAAGCAUCUAAGCACGAAACUUGCCCCGAGAUGAGUUCUCCCUGAGACUUUAAGUCUCCUGAAGGAACGUUGAAGACGACGACGUUGAUAGGCCGGGUGUGUAAGCGCAGCGAUGCGUUGAGCUAACCGGUACUAAUGAACCGUGAGGCUUAACCUU